rnacentral:rRNA from 1 species
UAUGACCUCCAUAUUAUCCUGAAUACAUCCAGACUUGUACAAUUUUGGAAAUUAAACAGGAUUGUCCAUGGUUAGUAUGAAGAUGGAAGACCACCUACAAACAACCAUGGAAUGAAACAG